rnacentral:rRNA from 1 species
UACGAAGGGGGCUAGCGUUGUUCGGAUUUACUGGGCGUAAAGCGCACGUAGGCGGAUCGUUAAGUCGGGGGUGAAAUCCUGGAGCUCAACUCCAGAACUGCCUUCGAUACUGGCGAUCUUGAGUCCGGAAGAGGUGAGUGGAACUCCUAGUGUAGAGGUGGAAUUCGCAGAUAUCAGGAGGAACACCAAUAGCGAAGGCAGCUCGCUGGGACGGUAUUGACGCUAAGGCGCGAAAGCGUGGGGAGCAAACAGG